GCGGCCUAUCAGCUUGUUGGUGGGGUGAUGGCCUACCAAGGCGACGACGGGUAGCCGGCCUGAGAGGGUGUCCGGCCACACUGGGACUGAGAUACGGCCCAGACUCCUACGGGAGGCAGCAGUGGGGAAUAUUGCACAAUGGGCGCAAGCCUGAUGCAGCGACGCCGCGUGAGGGAUGACGGCCUUCGGGUUGUAAACCUCUUUCAGUAUCGACGAAGCGCAAGUGACGGUAGGUACAGAAGAAGGACCGGCCAACUACGUGCCAGCAGCCGCGGUAAUACGUAGGGUCCGAGCGUUGUCCGGAAUUACUGGGCGUAAAGAGCUCGUAGGUGGUUUGUCGCGUUGUUCGUGAAAACUCACAGCUCAACUGUGGGCGUGCGGGCGAUACGGGCAGACUGGAGUACUGCAGGGGAGACUGGAAUUCCUGGUGUAGCGGUGGAAUGCGCAGAUAUCAGGAGGAACACCGGUGGCGAAGGCGGGUCUCUGGGCAGUAACUGACGCUGAGGAGCGAAAGCGUGGGGAGCGAACAGGAUUAGAUACCCUGGUAGUCCACGCCGUAAACGGUGGGUACUAGGUGUGGGUUUCCUUCCUUGGGAUCCGUGCCGUAGCUAACGCAUUAAGUACCCCGCCUGGGGAGUACGG
rnacentral:rRNA from 1 species